rnacentral:rRNA from 1 species
AUUGAACGCUGGCGGCAGGCCUAACACAUGCAAGUCGAGCGAGCGGCGGACGGGUGAGUAAUGUAUGGGAUCUGCCCGAUAGAGGGGGAUAACUCCUGGAAACGGUGCCUAAUACCGCAUACUAUCGGAUAACCCAUAUGGGAUUAGUUAGUAGGUGGGGUAAAGGCUCACCUAGGCGACGAUCUCUAGCUGGUCGGCGAGGAUGCACAGCCACACUGGGACUGAGACACGGCCCAGACUCCUACGGAGGCAGCAGUGGUGAAUAUUGCACAAUGGGAGCAAGCCUGAUGCAGCCAUGCCGCGUGUAUGAAGAAGGCCUUAGGGUUGUAAAGUACUUUCAGCGGGGAUGCGUUACCCGCAGAAGAAGCACCGGCUAACUCCGUGCCAGCCGCCGCGGUAAUAC